GACGAACGCUGGCGGCGUGCCUAAUACAUGCCAGUAGAACGCUGAAGGAGGAGCUUGCUUCUCUGGAUGAGUUGCGAACGGGUGAGUAACGCGUAGGUAACCUGCCUGGUAGCGGGGGAUAACUAUUGGAAACGAUAGCUAAUACCGCAUAAUAGUAGAUGUCGCAUGACAUUUGCUUAAAAGGUGCAAUUGCAUCACUACCAGAUGGACCUGCGUUGUAUUAGCUAGUUGGUGAGGUAACGGCUCACCAAGGCAACGAUACAUAGCCGACCUGAGAGGGUGAUCGGCCAAACUGGGACUGGGACACGGCCCAGACUCCUACGGGAGGCAGCAGUAGGGAAUCUUCGGCAAUGGACGGAAGUCUGACCGAGCAACGCCGCGUGAGUGAAGAAGGUUGUCGGAUCGUAAAGCUCUGUUGUAAGAGAAGAACGAGUGUGAGAGUGGAAAGUUCACACUGUGACGGUAUCUUACCAGAAAGGGACGGCUAACUACGUG
rnacentral:rRNA from 1 species